rnacentral:rRNA from 1 species
AGAAUCAACGCUGGCGGCGUGCCUAACACAUGCAAGUCGCACGAGAAAGGGUAGCAAUACCUGAGUACAGUGGCGCACGGGUGAGUAACACGUGAAUAAUCUACCUCCGAGUGGGGAAUAAACUGAGAGAAAUCUUAGCUAAUACCGCAUAACACUUACGAGUCAAAGCAGCAAUGCGCUUGGAGAGGAGUUCGCGGCCGAUUAGUUAGUUGGCGGGGUAAUGGCCCACCAAGACGAUGAUCGGUAUCCGGCCUGAGAGGGCGCACGGACACACUGGAACUGAAACACGGUCCAGACUCCUACGGGAGGCAGCAGUGGGGAAUUUUGCGCAAUGGGGGAAACCCUGACGCAGCAACGCCGCGUGGAGGAUGAAGCCCCGUUGGGGUGUAAACUCCUUUCGAUCGGGAAGAUAAUGACGGUACCGAUAUAAGAAGCCCCGGCUAACUUCGCGCCAGCAGCCGC